UGUGCCUCUUCCGAUCGUAAACAAUAUCUCAUAUCAACAAGGGCGUGCUUGGCCAAGGGCAAUUUGAGAAUGGGUGACUGAUCGGAAAGUUUCUCCCAUGAGCGCAUGAGUGAGCACAAAGUGCGCUAGAAAGACAUGUGUUGGUAUGUGGGGCCAAUCUAGAAGAUUAGAGAGCUGCCAG